GUGGGCCAUUUGUGUACGAUGACAUUACUGAUUACAUGUGCAUGUAUGUGGUUGACACAAGACAUGAACACCACAUCGGGGAAUCACGUGAUCACAAAAGUACAUCGUACGCACAAAAUGGCGGAAAAAACUCUAUCUUAAUGACGAAAAUCAAGAAUGCGCCAAAAGUCAAGUCUAUCGCUUCAUCGCUUGAAGAGAAAGCGCUUGAAAACAUCGCAAACAAUACGAUUAGUUACACCAAAAUGCAUUUCCUCAACUGCAUGUCACACUGGAGUUUAUCUGCAACAAAUUACACCUGUGCUAAUGCCCAUUAAGUUACCAUUUCGUUCACCAUUGUAUAAAGUAUCUCCACCCAAAAAGCGAGCAAAGAAAAGCAUUUCUGCAAGGGCUCUUUUUGAGCAGCAGCCAUGUUGUGAAAAAUAUGCCGUGGCAUUCAUGACGCUACUGAAUCAGAUUUUCUUCUAAACAUUAACAAUGGAUCAGUCAAAACGAAAAGCGAACAGUUAAGUGGAAUCGAUAUCGUGUGAGUCUCAAAGCUAUGAGAAUACUACAACACAAGCAGACAAUUUAACGAGAUACAUAUUUUGUAAAAUAGUUUGUACUAAUGUAUCUACCGGUAAGAUAUGAAAUAGUUGUAUAUCUACAUCUUAAAUAUUAACUCUUAUCAGAUUCUUCCACCUCCUUUUAAUACCAAUUUUAUGAAUUGUUAUAGACUUUCCGAAUGCUUUAAGAAUGCUUUGUGCUACUGUGAAACCAUUAUUAAUCGUCAGGCAUUAAUUUUCAUAAAUUUCGUCAGUCGAACGAUCGGCGAAUUUAAGAUCCUAACGAACAAUCAUGCUCUAUGUUUGAACAACAAACACUGAGUUGAACAAUAUUUUAAAACUUUACCGUAGACAUGAGGCAUUAAAUUCCAACAUAAUCCAUGCACACAUUCACUGCUGUUUCAUAAUUAAGAUUAAUCCGGUUUUGACACAAAGGGAUGUAGAUUACACAAGGUACUUAACUGACACGUUACACUUCUUUAAAUCGCGUGUGCAGUACAGCUGUAUCGAAUGUGUUGACUUCGUUUAUGUAGAAUGGUAAUGAAUUAGCGCUAAUUGUUUAUAACCUAUUACCCAUUAGGUGCAUUGUGUUUUUCAGGGGUGUUGCAUAUUAGCCAUCACGCAUCGAAUGCCGAUGAAACCAAAUGAAAAGAUGACGAUGUGUGAUCAACAUGCGUAUUUAUCACAAAUAUAAUAAAGAAUAUUUUAAUUGCUGUUUGUUGUUUGUGUUUAACAACACUUAUUACUAUUUUAAAUGUAUCAAUUUAUUUAUUUUUAAAUUAUUGACAUUAUUAAUUUAUAUACCGGUAGUUUACUUUUUAAGAACAAACACACACAAGAGUUUAUAAUUUUAAUGUUGAUAUCAGAAUAAAAAAGCAUUUUAUUUGAAAAAAAACACAUAACAAACUGGAACCUCUUUCGUAUCACACAAACAGUUUUAAAACGGUAUUGACAGCAUUUUAAUAAAAAUCAUACCAACUAGAAUUACGAGUGUUAUCAGUAUGGCAAUAAUAAUAAUAGAAAAAGACUAAUGGGCAAUUGGCUUCGUUGUUACAAACACUCGUUAACGGUUAUUCGAUCCCACUUGUCCGCUUAUCAUAACAAUGAACGUGUGAAUGGCAUACAUUAAGAGGGUCCAUUACUUGUCCGCUUAUCAUAACAAUGAACGUGUGAAUGGCAUACAUUAAGAGGGUCCAUUACUGUCCCUUGAUAACAAAAGACUAAUUAAUUGGAAUGUGAUUCUCAAGUGUGUUCCCGCAUUCAUACGAUUUUUCGCAACUGCGAUUGAUCGCGAAUAUGUAUUACACACAAAUCGGAUAUUGACUGACGCAUUAUUUUUUUAAUUUAAAAUCAGAAUUCGGCAAAUUUAAGUGCUGACGAAAUCUUCAUUUUUAUAAAAAUGACGAAAUUUUGUGCUGUCGAAAAUAAAUGGUUUCACAGUAUUUUAUGCCAAAUACA